CGGUGGCUAAAAAAUGCCAAAAUAUUCAAUCCUCGCAGCAAAGAGGUGGACAGAGGCUGAAUGGCUGUGCCUUCCCAACAACUCUGCUCUUUUUCUUCUUUUCUCAAAUCGGAGGAAACGAGUUCAAUACCGUCUAAGAACACCCAAGGAUGCUGAGGGAUUUGGCUUUAGGAUCCUCUUCUUAGUCAAUUGAUAAAGAAAAUUCCUGCCUGUGUGUUUCUUGGUGGCAAAAGUGAUCAUGGUAGGGGAGGAUAGAAACCUGACAAGCAUGUCGUUGCUGUCAAAAAUUGACCUCUAAAUAUCUUGAUAGCAACUCCCCAUGUAAUAAUCAUCUGGCCAUAGCGGGGACACCUUUGUGUGUUUCUUGAAUGUAAGAAAGACUAUUGUUGAGAUUUGAAAGACUAGGAGGAUUCGUUUAUUCUUUCCGAUGCAAUGCCCUAAUGCUUUUGUUCUUAUUUUCCAAGUUUCUUCCUCUUUGAACUAAGAUUUGCUCAGAUCCAUUUUAUUUGAAUCUUGAGCUUCUUUCCGAAGAAGGGCCUUGCUGUCUUUGACUCUGUCAUGUUCUCAGAAUGGUGCACACUCAGAUGAACAUCGACGUCAACAAGGAUCACUAUUUUUCUCCUCAUCUUGAUCAAACUUAUGGAACAUGUUCUAGUCAUUAGACCAAUUCCAUCCAGUGCAAUAAUUUUAGAAGAGCAAGUAGAAGUCCUGCUUUUGGAGUCUCAUCCAUUGCCCAUUGGCCCCAUUCUUCUGCAGUCUGCUGACAUCCUUGAUUACUUAAUGUCUGUACACAGUAAGUUCUCAGCCAACAGGUAUGAGCCAAUAUCUCACAAUGCAAACAUCUUUAUCAAACAAACUAUAGAUAUAGUAUCAAUAACAGUGAAGGUUAAUCAGCUGCUAUGACUAUCGGCCUACAGUUUAAAUGCCAUUUUGUACCUGACAAACAAUAUCAGUUUGUGUGGAAAAAUAAGAGGCAUUUAUGGUAUCCUGACAAAAGGAUGUACAGUGAAAGCAGUAACUCCUGCAUGCUGAAUACUAGUGAAGUGGGAGGGCCGUGUUACAUGAGCAUAAUUGCAAAUACUGAAUACAGGCUAAAUGCUGUUUAUGAAGCUGCUAUAGAUGCAGAAUUGUAAUCUGAAAACUUGUUUAUGGACUUGAGUAGUGAGUGAAAGAAAUAGGGAAAAAAAUUGUCUUUAUAAACUAGUAUGAUCAGACUGUAAAUACUGAAAAAUAUAUAUAGAUAAAAUAUCAGCAUUCUCAGCAGCA